UGGGGAAUAUUGCACAAUGGGCGCAAGCCUGAUGCAGCCAUGCCGCGUGUAUGAAGAAGGCCUUCGGGUUGUAAAGUACUUUCAGUCGGGAGGAAGGUGUCAAGGUUAAUAACCUUGGCAAUUGACGUUACCGACAGAAGAAGCACCGGCUAACUCCGUGCCAGCAGCCGCGGUAAUACGGAGGGUGCAAGCGUUAAUCGGAAUUACUGGGCGUAAAGCGCACGCAGGCGGUCUGUCAAGUCGGAUGUGAGAUCCCCGGGCUUAACCCGGGAAUUGCAUCUGAUACUGGUCAGCUAGAGUCUUGUAGAGGGGGGUAGAAUUCCAUGUGUAGCGGUGAAAUGCGUAGAGAUGUGGAGGAAUACCGGUGGCGAAGGCGGCCCCCUGGACAAAGACUGACGCUCAGGUGCGAAAGCGUGGGGAGCAAACAGG
rnacentral:rRNA from 1 species